rnacentral:rRNA from 1 species
UCGUGUCGUGAGAUGUUGGGUUAAGUCCCGCAACGAGCGCAACCCUCACCCCUAGUUGCCACCGGGUAAAGCCGAGCACUCGAGGGGAACUGCCAGCGUCAAGCUGGAGGAAGGCGGGGAUGACGUCAAGUCAUCAUGCCCCUUACGUCCUGGGCUACACACGUGCUACAAUGGCCGGUACAAAGGGAUGCCACACCGCGAGGUAGAGCUAAACCCAAAAAGCCGGUCUAAGUUCAGAUUGGAGUCUGCAACUCGACUCCAUGAAGGAGGAAUCGCUAGUAAUCGC